rnacentral:tRNA from 2 species
GGGCCCAUAGCUCAGCAGGAUAGAGCGACGGCCUCCUAAGCCGUAGGUCGCCAGUUCGACUCUGGCUGGGCCCGCCA